rnacentral:rRNA from 1 species
AGUGUAGGUGGCUAUUUAAGUUGGAUGUGAAAGCCCCGGGCUCAACCUGGGAAUUGCAUUCGAAACUGAAUAGCUAGAGUUUGGUAGAGGUAAGUGGAAUUCCGGGUGUAGCGGUGAAAUGCGUAGAUAUCCGGAGGAACAUCAGUGGCGAAGGCGGCUUACUGGACCAAAACUGACGCUGAGGCUCGAAAGCGUGGGGAGCAAACAGGAUUAGAUACCCUGGUAGUCC